rnacentral:rRNA from 1 species
AUGAAGAACGUAGCGAAAUGCGAUACUUGGUGUGAAUUGCAGAAUCCCGUGAACCAUCGAGUCUUUGAACGCAAGUUGCGCUUGAGGCCAUUAGGCUAAAGGCACGUCUGCCUGGGUGUCACAC